GUGCAGAGCCCAGGCGCGUGGGUCGGUGUCGGGUGUGUGUGUACGUCUGUGUGUGUAAUGAAACUGGACGCCUUCCUUCCCGGCGAUCUUGACUUAACCUGUCAGCAGAGGGCUUGAGGUUAGACCACAGGUUGAACCUAGGUGGCUGCUGGAGAGAAACACUCUGUCUUCCUGCUUUGAGGACAGCUGAAGUCUUGCCACUUCUUCUGGAUGCUCUGACCAUCAGUAAGCCACCUCAGUCUCACCCUCCGCAGAAUGCAGGCCCACUCCGUUGCUGAAGGGCCUCCUCCUUGGGCCAGGGCGCCUGCUUCUGCCAGUGGCAUCAUCACCCCACUCCUCAGCCGCCAGUCAUCAGAGACACGGUCUGACUUUGUUACCCCGGCUGGAGUGCAGUGGUGCAAUCAUGGCUCACUGCAGCCUUAACCUCCUGGGCUCAAGUGAUCCUCUCGCCAAGGCUAGGAUAAGUAGCUAGGACUACAGAUGCGCCCCAUCACGCCCAGCUAAUUUUACAACUUCUGUAGAGAUGGAGUGUUGCUGGGUUGCCCAGGCUGGUCUUGAAUUCCUGGGCUCAAGCGAUCCUCCUGUGUCCGGAAUUGGUGGGUUCUUGGUCUCACUGACUUCAAGAAUGAAGCCGCGGACCCUCGCGAGUCUGUAUCCACCAGCUACUCUUCCAGAUUCAUGAGGCAAGGCCUGCCUGCUCACCUGGCUGGCCCCAAGCACCUCUUCAACCUGUUGCCACCGUCCUGCCUUGCUGCCCUUCUCAGCUCAUCCAGCAGGGUCUCCAAGUCGUGGAAACAGAAGCACAUAUACACACAUGCUCAUAUGUACAUGCCCACAGUCACAUAAGCACACCGAGAAACACCAUCGCAGACAUGUUCUCACAAGCACAUGUGCAUAACACUCACUACCCCUCACGCGUAUACACAUUAAUACACACACUCAUGCACACUCAGUCUUACACACACAGACACACAGCCAUAAUCACUGUUGUUGGUUGAAUUGUGCCCCCCCAUCCCCACCAAAAAGAUAAGUUGGAGUCCUAACCCCCAGUACCUGGGGAUGUGACCGUAGUUGGAAAUAGGGUGUUUGUAGAUGUAAUCAAAUUAAGAUGAGAUCUUACUGGAUUAGAGUGGGCCUUAAAUCCAGUGACUGGUGUCCUUAUAAGGAGAAAAAGAUUUGAAAACAGAGACAUGGAGACACAGAGCAGAAGGCCAUGUGAUGAUGGAGUCAGAGAUUGGAGUGAUGCAGCUAUGAGCCGAGAAAUACCAAGGUGCUGGCAGCCCCCAGAAGCAAGGAGAGAGGCAAGGAACAAUCUCCAUCAGAGCCUCUGGAAGAAACAGACUCUGCCAACACCUUGAUUUCAGACUUUUGGCCUCCUUCACUGUGCGAGAAUACGUUUCUGUUGUUUUAAACUACUGAGUCACCAAGUCUGUGGUACUGUGUUAUGGCAGCCCCGGCAACAAAUCCAAUCACACACACACACACACACACACACACACACACACACACACACACACACACAGCUGGCUCCAGGCUCAGUGAUGAGCUCAGAGGAGUUCCCCUUGGGAGCUGCUCUUUCUCUGUCUUCCUUCCUUAGUGAUUGGUCCAGUGGAUCCACAAAAGCUCAUGGCCCAGAGCAGGAGCCCAGUCAUUUUUAAUUCCUCUUCCCUGGAGUUCUUAACCAUGCGUUGCCCUCAAAAUCUGCUCUCAAGAUUUGGGUUGCCAUAUUUAGGAGCACCAGAAAACAUACAGGAAUGCUGUGUCUGCUUGCAUCAUAUUAAUUAAAAACUGGAAAUAACCUAAAUGUCCCAGAAUAGGUACAUAAACUGUGGCAUAUCCACUUAAUGGAAUACUACUCAGCAAUACAAAAGGAAAACCUAGUGUUACUUGAGCAACAUGGAUGAACUUCACAGACAUAAUAUUGCACAGCACGAGGCAGACACAAAAGUGUGCAUAUGCUAUGAUUCCAUUUACAUGAGAUUCAAGAACAGGCAAAGCAGAUCUAUGGGGAUAGAAGUCAGAAUAGUGGUUACCUCUGGAAGGUGGAAUUGACUGGGAGGGGCUUCAGGGAACCUCCUGGGGUGCUGAAAACAUUCUGUGCUUGCACCGGGUGGUGGUUAUGUGGGCAUUACAUAAAAUUCACCAAGCUGCACCCUUAAUGAUUUGUACAAUUUGAUGCACAAAUCUAACAUCUCAAGAAGAAUAAAUUUUACAAAGUACCUAAGAAGCAAA
rnacentral:lncRNA from 10 species